GUGUUUCAGAUAUCUAGAGAGGUUAUAAGAAUCCAGAGACAAGGGAGACUGUGCCCGUCUAUAUACUCUGCAGUAUACCUUUCAAAGCGAAGCAUCGAGACAGUAGAAAAAGAACGUGACUCAAUAUUAGAGCAACGGUCUCUCCAUAAGUAGCUACAUACUGUCUUACGAUGGGGAGUUGCAAGAGUACACCACACUCUCCAGGAACACAACAACCCCUAACUAGUAAGACACCUCCUUCAAAAUCAACAGAGACUCACCUCUGUCCUGCUGGGCCCGCAGCCUUGUUUACUGCUUCCUCCCAUGCUCAGAUAUCUUCACGUGAACUUUGGUUAACAGUUGCCCAAUAUCACCCUUCCCUAGGUGACCAAACAUGGAAGUGCCCCACCUUCGGGUUCUCACAUUCCAAAAGCUACACAAACAAGCUUUGAAAUAUGUUUUAUGAAAUGAUAGGUUGGGAGAGCUAGGCUUCAGACGUGUCCAAGGCUAUAGGCGUUCCAGCUUCCCACAGCCCCACCUCACUGUCAGGUCAGAACACCAGAGGACUCCAAUGAUGGAGCAAAAAUCGCCUUUCCAGAUGGCAGAGUCCCAGCCAGUGCUUAAACUCAGGAGACAGUAAGGAUUCGGACAACUAGGAUGCAACUGAGAUCAACAAGAGUCACAUAAAAAUUCCCUCUUCCAAUUGUGAAAACAUCAUCACCACGUGCUCAAACAGUAAUCGAACAUUGCCAAGAUGAGAUGGACAAGAGCAAGAAGCUUGGCUGCAGCCAGGAGUUUAACAUGAGGCAAUACCACACUGACUUCUCUCGGGUUACACCAAACUAAACUGUGUUGCAAGCUGGCUUCAGAUCACAGGAAGGUGCUUGGAGAGGGGCUUAGAGAGACCAUGGACUGUGCUUAUGGCUCUGCUGUUUUGACCUCUGGGACCUUCCAACAGCCAAUGCCCAAUGAUUCCUGGUAGAAUGAACUAACCAAAGCAUUUCCAUCAGAGAUGAACUUUCAGAAGGUCAGUUUUAUCUAAACCAGCAUUAUAAAACACAAUUCUGUCUUUGCCCUGGAACAAAGAGUACAAGAGUUCAAGCCAAGAGGAGGCAAUCGAUACAGAUGCCGUGAAAGAAUAUGGUGACUCACUGUGUAAAGGGUAUCUCUCCACACGUAGAAUGACUAGGACCCAGAGGCCCAAGGACAAAGGAUUCAAAGUUGGAUCCCAGCCCAGCAGACUUGGUUCUCGUGUAUCACCUCGGUUUGGGCAGUAAGACACUAGACUGGUGUAACUAGAAAAUUGUGCCAUGCCCUGUCUGGGAGACCUGUGGAACCUUGUCUUUGUGUGAAUAAAAUAAAAUCAGUGACAAUCCGAAA